UACGUAGGGGGCAAGCGUUGUCCGGAUUUAUUGGGCGUAAAGGGCGUGUAGGCGGUUUGUUAAGUCAUGUGUGAAAUCCCUCGGCUCAACCGGGGAACGACGCAUGAAACUGGCAGCUAGAGUACCAAAGAGGGGGGUGGAAUUCCCGGGUGUAGCGGUGAAAUGCGUAGAUAUCGGGAGGAACACCUGUGGCGAAGGCGGCCCCCUGGUUGGAUACUGACGCUGAUACGCGAAAGCGUGGGGAGCAAACAGG
rnacentral:rRNA from 1 species